CCGGACUAGAGCCAGGGCCUUGUGGGCAGGUGCGGAAAACCCUAAACGGAUGAGUCAUAUGAUUCCCCUUUACCGUUUGUCAUUGUACAAUCAGCCACUGGGUGCUGCUGCACAGUCGGACGUUUCCAGGGCUUUGCUGUUAUAAAUGCUACUGUUUUACAAAGUUAAUCCUUCUGGCAGACCACAAGGCACUCUAUUUUAUGGAAUGGCUACAGAAUGGAGACUUCAGCUCAGCUACGCUUCGUGAAGACAAACACACCGAAAAUACAGCAUUGCACGCCCAGGGCUGAUAAAAAUCUGUUCUGAGUAAAUCGGGAGCUCCAAUCUCAUGUCAACUCUUAGGUUGGUUAUUCUACUAAAAGGAAAUAAAAUGUCAUUUGUUGGAUUCUUAUUUGGCUCC
rnacentral:lncRNA from 1 species